ACUUUCGAUAGACAACUCCGAAAGCUACACAGGAGAGUAACAAAGAUACGUAAAUGACGUCAUCGCGAAACAUGAUUCUUGUACGUGCUCACAAAGAGGACUGAAGGGAACUCCAAGCGGUUCAAAGAUUCAUCUUAGUUACUACCGAGACCAGCAGUGGGCGAUAGUAGGUAUUUAAUGAGAUGACGGUACAAUACUAUCAAAGAAUACAGUAUUCUUUAAUAGCAUAUAUCGAUAUAUCGAGGGACUUCUAUCGAGGGUCGAAGGACUUCUUUUAAACAAAAAUUUUACGAAGUCAUCAAUGCGCAGGAACG
rnacentral:lncRNA from 1 species